GCGGCCUCGGGAGGCGUCGGCAGGUGGACGGUGCCCUUCGGUGGUCUUUGAGAGCCCUUCCAACGCAAACCGUUCUGCAGUUCUGUUACGCCGGGCCUGAGGGGCCCGGCCUGCCGCUCUCAGCAGGAAGCAUUUGAAACAUCUCCUCCACACCCUCCUGGCAACGUUUUGCGUUUUUAUUUUCUUUGGUAGUCGCUCUCUGUGCUCAUUUCUCAUGGCAGGAUGUGCCUACCACCACUUGCUGGAAUCAUAACCUCAAGCUGAUUCAGCAGUUCCUGUUGGGUUGAACAUUUCCCUUUCGGACUGAUAGCUUCUUUAAAACUGUGUGAUGAUCCAAAAUAUCACAAACGUGAAAAGCUGCCAGAUUAUUUAGAUCCUUUUUCAUAGAGAGCUGAAGUACAUCUAACCUCGGUUGUAACCUUCUGCUUCUGGAUUGUUUCAAAGGGGCAAAUCCUUGGGCAGCCCAGGAAGAAGUUCCCAGCACAGACCACUGCCUGCAGCUGUGGCCUUGGCCAUGCCGUGACGCUGCUGUGUGGAGCCCCUGGACAUGUAUGAAUUCACUCUCAUUUCUGAGCUGCCGUUCUCUGCACUGCUCCCCUGCACAGCCCCAGCACGAGGCCCAGCUGCCAAUGAGAACCUUAGCUGGUUCCCCUCACUAUGAGCAACUUUCGUGUAAGGUAAAAUCCUCUUAAAAAUAAAAGAGCAGAAAGAACAAAGACAACAAUUACUUGCCAUUAGAGUCAGUGUUUUCCUCAUUGUAAUUGAGCUGUGAGAACAGCAUGUUUUUUUGCUCCGGUAUUCCCCUGUGAGGACAGAAGUACACACUCAAGGUUCCUAAUUCCACUCCAUCUGUAAUAGGA